ACUCAGAUCUAUGAGACAAGAGAGAAAUGGGCAAAGCAAUACUUCAAUAGGAAAUUCUGUGCAAAAAUGACCAGCACACAACGGAGCGAGAGUGCAAACCAUAUGCUCAAAACUUAUGUUCCAGCAAGUUGCCCCAUGCACCUAUUCGUCUGCCAAUACAUGAGGCUUCUUUUUGAUAGGGAAGCAGCUGAGAACUAUGAGGAAAGGCCCACUAAGAUAGUAAGUUUUUAUUUUAAUUUUUGUUAG
rnacentral:rRNA from 1 species